rnacentral:rRNA from 1 species
UACGUAGGGGGCAAGCGUUGUCCGGAUUUAUUGGGCGUAAAGAGCGUGUAGGCGGCCAUGUAGGUCCGUUGUGAAAACUCGAGGCUCAACCUCGAGACGCCGAUGGAAACCAUGUGGCUAGAGUCCGGAAGAGGAGAGUGGAAUUCCUGGUGUAGCGGUGAAAUGCGCAGAUAUCAGGAAGAACACCCGUGGCUAAGGCGGCUCUCUAGUACGGUACUGACGCUGAGACGCGAAAGCGUGGGGAGCGAAC